rnacentral:lncRNA from 1 species
GCUGGGAAUUUGCCAUCCUGUUGCAGGAGCACAGCAGCAGCCCCAGAAAAAUAUUUUUCAAGGCUGCAGAGAAAACAAGGGCUGGAAAAAUGUUUGUUUAUUGCCAGCUCUCCCCACAGCCGCUUAUAUAACAGCCUGUGCUGAGACAGGCUGUCCUGCCCAGGCUCAGAAUCAAGAGUCACACUCCUUGGGAUGAUGACAGAGACAAUGUGGGAACUACAGGGCUAUGGCCUAUGACGUCCAGGAAGGAAAACCAAGUGGUUCUUCCCCAAACCAUCAUGGACCAGUUGGACUCUGAGAAGAAAAGUUUCUGAUCUUUAGUUCAUUCUUCCAACUCUCUAGAAAGCAGGAAAACUGAGAAUGAAAAAUUCUAAAUUACUCAGGACUCAUGGGUUGCCAAUAGAAGAAAUACAUCUUAAACUAGCUUAAGCCUGAAAGGGAAAUGUAUUUGUUCAUGUAACUGAACCAUAACGAAGGAUGGUGGACUGAGGGACCUGAAAACACCCUCAGGACUCCCUCCCUCUCCUUUGUGCUCCUGUCUGAUGCCGUCUUCCCAGACCUGCUCACUCUCCAUAAGGUGGGGAUGUGGCCAUCAGCAACGUGUACUUCCCCGAAGCUUGUGACCUGAGUAGAUAGGCAUCUCCCAACCCACAAGGAUUGAAAAGUUCCUCUAGGAAUUAUGUGGAUUGGCCCAUUCACUAUGACAUGUUCCCCCUAAGCAGCUAAAGGAACUGGGUCUGUUACCAGAAGAGGUGGGAGAGGGGUGCUAGGCAGAUUGAACAACAGCCACUACAACAUCUGAGGAGGAGACCUCCGUGAAGGCCACCAAGUCUGCUAGCAGAUAUUUCCUCCCUCGGAUCUCUCUCCCUGUCCUCACAGUCUCAUAAGUGAGGAUUAAAUACUACAUGUGGCCUAGGAGAUCUUAGACCCUCCACACGAAGAUAUAGUAACAAUCAACAUCCUAGUGUUCUGGCAGAGAAAAAAUCAGAAAGAAUCGUUUGCCUGAUUUUUCCAUCAAUACCAAUAAUUAAUUAGAGAUGAAAUUUGUGAUGGACUCAGAGAAUUAGAGAAGAUCUAAGGGAAUCUAGAUGAUUUCCUACCCCUAACCAGAGCCUCACAAAAAAGGGUGAAGAUCUAUGGCCGUCUUGCGUUUGGUGUGAGGCUGGACAAGGAAGUUCCUAAGGUCCUUUAGACUCUGUGAGAUCAUGAGUCCGUAAAACCCUUCCAACUUGAAAUUAGUUGAUUCCUUCCUUAAAUUUUCUGGGACAUUCCCCCACUCCCUCCACUCUUAUUAGCUGAUUUUACUGACCAAUAGGCCUUGAAGUUGGGCGUUCCAUCUAGAUGUCUCACAUCAACUCACCUUUUGCAAAUUAAGCCCAUACCCUUAAAGAGGGGAAUUCUCAAGCCAUUAGAAACUAGAGAGUCAGCUGGGCAUGGUGGCUCACGCCUGUAAUCCCAGAACUUUGGGAGGCCAAGGUGGGUGGAUCACUUGAGGUCAGGAGUUCGAGUCCAGCCUGACCAACAUGGCGAAACCCCGUCUCUACUAAAAAUACAAAAAUUAGCCAGGGGUGAUGGCAUGCACCUGUAAUCCCAGCUACUCAGGAGGCUGAGGCAGGAGAAUUGCUUGAACCUGGGAGGCGGAGGUUGCAGUGAGCCAAGUUUGCACCACAGCACUCCAGCCUGGGCAACAGAGUGAGACUCAGUUUCAAAAAACAAAAGAACAAACAAACAAAAACUAGAGGGUCUCCUCUUAGUUCUUAAACCCUCUUAGUCAACAUUUGUGAGCCUCUUUUCUGUAUGUUUUGGCAUCUUUAUUCCUUUCCUUCGUGUCUUGACCAAAUUCACCAGAUCAUGACUCAGAACAAAAUCCUGAGGUUGAAUAUAGAGGUCU